UACGGGGGGAGCAAGCGUUGUUCGGAUUUACUGGGCGUAAAGGGCGCGUAGGCGGCCACCGCAAGUCGGUUGUGAAAUCUCCGGGCUUAACCCGGAAAGGUCAAUCGAUACUGCGGGGCUAGAGUGCAGAAGGGGCAACUGGAAUUCUCGGUGUAGCGGUGAAAUGCGUAGAUAUCGAGAGGAACACCUGCGGCGAAGGCGGGUUGCUGGGCUGACACUGACGCUGAGGCGCGAAAGCGUGGGGAGCAAACAGG
rnacentral:rRNA from 1 species